UUCUGCCACACCCUUUGGGCAAUGCCUUAUUGUAAAAAGCUCCAGACUUGCAAAGAAUGAGCAGAGCCUGGGUACUGUUAUAUCAACAGAAACAGCCAUUUGAAAGCUGCUGGAUGAAGACUGUUAGCCACACUGACUUAUUUUAAAGCAAAGAUUUCACUUUUUUUUCCUUUCAGAUAGUGAAUCAGAAUGCUUCCUACUUACCAGUACUGGAAGAAAAGUGAGAUUCAUAGCGUCUGCAAGCCAUAGAGGACAGGACAUGCCUUAUACUGGAGCUUCACAAGGCCUGAAACUACUAUUGCCAAAAUGGACCAGAACCUGAAUUUUAGAUUCCUACUAAGAUCCAUUACAGAAAGAACCACCCCACUCCAUGUUCUCCAGAGAGGUCCCCUGCUUCAUUGAGAUUCCAUGUCAGUACACAGAUUUAUGGUCAUUAGAAACAACCUAGUUUGACUAUAUCAAGUAUUAAAGAAAUUGAAAGAUCUUGCUCUGAAGCAAACGCCAUUUAUCCAGUGAGUAAGGAGAAAAUGGUGUCCAGGGGCUGAGAGGAUGGAAGCAUUCUGUGCGAGUAAAUUUGGAACACACUCAAA